GCCUGGUUGGCUCAGUUGGUUAAGUGUCUGACUUUGGCCCAGGUCAUGAUCCGCGCUUUGUGGGUUUGAACCCUACAUCAGGCU
rnacentral:tRNA from 1 species